AAUAUGAUUACUUAUAAAUAUAAAUAUAUUUCCAUAUUUGUGAAUAUAAUCAGGUUAAUAUACAUGUAUAUUUCCUUGCUUAUCAGCUAAGAAGACUUAGACGCAAUGAGCCCCAGAAACAGUGCAGAACAUCAACGGGAUGCAAACACAAGCCACAGGGUUGGAGAAUUUUUCAGAAAAAGAAGCAAUACAGAUAUUCCAGAAAAAAAUAUUUUAU
rnacentral:lncRNA from 1 species